rnacentral:misc_RNA from 1 species
CCAAUAGCGUAUAUUAAAGUUGCUGCAGUUAAAAAGCUCGUAGUUGAAUUUCGGGACUAAUAUGUCGGUCGUGCCUCGAUACGUACUGGUAUUUUUGGUUUCUCCCUUCUGACGAACCUUGAUGUCAUUAAUUUGGUGUCUUGGGAAAUCAGGACUGUUACUUUGAAAAAAUUAGAGUGUUUAAAGCAGGCUCACGCUUGAAUACAUUAGCAUGGAAUAAUGAAAUAGGACGUUUGAUUCUAUUUUGUUGGUUUCUAGGAUCGACGUAAUGAUUAAUAGGGAUAGUUGGGGGCAUUAGUAUUCAAUUGUCAGAGGUGAAAUUCUUGGAUUUAUUGAAGACUAACUACUGCGAAAGCAUUUGCCAAGGAUGUUUUCAUUAAUCAAGAACGAAAGUUAGGGGAUCGAAGACGAUCAGAUACCGUCGUAGUCUUAACCAUAAACUAUGCCGACUAGGAAUCAGACGAUGUUAAUUUUUUAAUGACUCGUUUGGCACCUUACG